UACGUAGGGUGCAAGCGUUAAUCGGAAUUACUGGGCGUAAAGCGUGCGCAGGCGGUUUUGUAAGUCAGAUGUGAAAUCCCCCGGGCUUAACCUGGGAACUGCGUUUGAAACUACAAGGCUAGAGUGUGGCAGAGGGGGGGUGGAAUUCCACGUGUAGCAGUGAAAUGCGUAGAGAUGUGGAGGAACACCGAUGGCGAAGGCAGCCCCCCUGGGCCAAUACUGACGCUCAUGCACGAAAGCGUGGGGAGCAAACAGG
rnacentral:rRNA from 1 species